CACAUGCUGUGAACUCGAAGAGUAGGGCGGGACACGUGGUAUCCUGUCUGAAUAUGGGGGGACCAUCCUCCAAGGCUAAAUACUCCUGACUGACCGAUAGUGAACCAGUACCGUGAGGGAAAGGCGAAAAGAACCCCGGCGAGGGGAGUGAAAAAGAACCUGAAACCGUGUACGUACAAGCAGUGGGAGCCUCUUUAUGGGGUGACUGCGUACCUUUUGUAUAAUGGGUCAGCGACUUAUAUUCUGUAGCAAGGUUAACCGUAUAGGGGAGCCGAAGGGAAACCGAGUCUUAACUGGGCGUUAAGUUGCAGGGUAUAGACCCGAAACCCGGUGAUCUAGCCAUGGGCAGGUUGAAGGUUGGGUAACACUAACUGGAGGACCGAACCGACUAAUGUUGAAAAAUUAGCGGAUGACCUGUGGCUGGGGGUGAAAGGCCAAUCAAACCGGGAGAUAGCUGGUUCUCCCCGAAAGCUAUUUAGGUAGCGCCUCGUGAACUCAUCUUCGGGGGUAGAGCACUGUUUCGGCUAGGGGGCCAUCCCGGCUUACCAACCCGAUGCAAACUACGAAUACCGAAGAAUGUUAUCACGGGAGACACACGGCGGGUGCUAACGUCCGUCGUGAAGAGGGAAACAACCCAGACCGCCAGCUAAGGUCCCAAAGUCAUGGUUAAGUGGGAAACGAUGUGGGAAGGCACAGACAGCCAGGAUGUUGGCUUAGAAGCAGCCAUCAUUUAAAGAAAGCGUAAUAGCUCACUGGUCGAGUCGGCCUGCGCGGAAGAUGUAACGGGGCUAAACCAUGCACCGAAGCUGCGGCAGCGACGCUUAUGCGUUGUUGGGUAGGGGAGCGUUCUGUAAGCCGUUGAAGGUGUGCUGUGAGGCAUGCUGGAGGUAUCAGAAGUGCGAAU
rnacentral:rRNA from 1 species